UAGGGAAUCUUCGGCAAUGGACGAAAGUCUGACCGAGCAACGCCGCGUGAGUGAAGAAGGUUUUCGGAUCGUAAAACUCUGUUGUUAGAGAAGAACAAGGACGUUAGUAACUGAACGUCCCCUGACGGUAUCUAACCAGAAAGCCACGGCUAACUACGUGCCAGCAGCCGCGGUAAUACGUAGGUGGCAAGCGUUGUCCGGAUUUAUUGGGCGUAAAGCGAGCGCAGGCGGUUUCUUAAGUCUGAUGUGAAAGCCCCCGGCUCAACCGGGGAGGGUCAUUGGAAACUGGGAGACUUGAGUGCAGAAGAGGAGAGUGGAAUUCCAUGUGUAGCGGUGAAAUGCGUAGAUAUAUGGAGGAACACCAGUGGCGAAGGCGGCUCUCUGGUCUGUAACUGACGCUGAGGCUCGAAAGCGUGGCGAGCAAACAGG
rnacentral:rRNA from 1 species